UGAAAGUGUGUUUUUUUCAGAGGCCAUUUUGUGCCUAAAGGACUCCAUCGCGUUAUCAAAGUACCAGAAAGAUAUCUGUGGAAUAAACUGCAGAUCAUUUUGUGGAUGGGUGUGUAAGAGAUCAGACUCAUCUGAUCCACCUUUGCAGCUCCAAUAUGGAUGACGCACAGACAUCCAGUGAUGGAGACUUUUGUCCAGGAAUCAGUUCAGUCCAGCAGAAGAGAACAGGAUCAGCAGAGCCCAGCUGUGUGUCUAUGAGGAGCGAUCAGUCUAUGAAUCCACCACUGUUUUUGAAUGAUGGAAACACAUUACCUGGCUGCAAGUCCAAUAUUUCUGCAAACACAUGUUCAGUCAAGCCUAUGAGAACAGAAUCAGCAGAGCCCCAGCUGUGUGUCAAUGAAGAGUGAUCAGUCUAUGAACCCACCACUGUUUUUUAAUGAUGGAAACACAUCAUCUAGCAGCAGAAAGAGAAAACACUGCAUGAAGAUGAAUCUACCAAAACCCAGCCAUGUUCCUGUGAAGAGGGACUGUUCAGUGGAUCAGCCAAUACUUUCCACUGGUGGAAACGCUGCCUGCUGGUACAGUUUAUAAUGUUUUGUAUCCUUCAGGACUAAGUCUUAUAUUUACUUUUUGAAAACAUAGCAAUACCAGCAGUCCACAGUGCCGGUAGUAGCGACCUGCUGACAGGUGGCUGCUCAGAAGAACAUCAAAGCUUUCAAUUUACAUGUUUUUGCAACAUUGUAGCCAAUCACAGGUAUGUUUGUUGAGUAUGUGAACAGAAUGGCCAAUCAGAGGCAUGUAAUGGCAAGUUCACACUACAGGAUUUUAAGAUCUAUUUGCAACUCAAUGAGUUUGCUAACAGGUCGGACUUUGAUUGAGGGAAAGUCAAUGGGUGAUCAGAUAGAAAAGUCCAUUUGUUGCCAAGUGUAAACGGGCCGUGUUCUGAUUGACUGAUGAUCCGAUCAAGCAGUUUACACUUGGCAACAUCAAUGGACUUUUUCUAUCUGGAUAACCGAUCGGAUCUGUCUUUCCCGCACAAUAUAUAAGUAAGUCUGCAGAGAAUGGCCCAGUGGAAAGUUAACCUGAAGUGUUGGGUUUUCUUUUGAAAAACAUUUUCAGUCAUGGGACAUUUUCCAAAUCAAAGAUAAGUGUAGGAGACUCAGUCCCCAGAUGGGUGUUCUCCGUCUUUUUUUCUGUCAGUUCGCGAUAGUGGGGACUGCGUUUUGCGUGAUGUCGACAUGCAAAUGCAGACACGAUGGCUGGAUUGUGUUUACAUUACACUGAGAUCCGAUCACAAUGCGUCCUCGACUACCUCUGGACCAGGACACGCUGAUCGGAUACUUUCCGAUCAGAAGUGCAUUUACACUUGUCUUUUCAAUGUGUAUGUGGACAACAUCCGGAUACAGGUCGCAUGUUAAUGCCAUGUGUAAAUGCAGACAAAGAG